rnacentral:lncRNA from 1 species
GAAAAACUUAGCACCCGUUUGGUUCGGGAUUAAGGGGUGGAAUAACUCUUUAACUCCGAAGUUAUUCUCAAACAUCCAAUUUCGGGGGUGCGGUUAGCUAACCCCACCCCACCCCACCCCAACCCAACCAAACAAAAUACUAUUUUACCCACUAUCCUUGUUAUCCCACCUAUUCCAACCAAAUACUAUUUUAUCUAUAUCUAGAUUAAACCCAAUUUUCAACCAAACACAAAAUUACUCUAACCUAACCUUAACCCUGAACUUAACUCUAUUUCUGGAAUAACAAGUUUUACUUAAUACCGAACCAAACGGUGGCUUAAAGAAAUGACCUAUUUGAGACAGGGGUAAAGUGCAGGGAGUCAUUAACUCUUUAUAAUUUUCGACAAUAAAUAUAUCAUGAAUAUAUAAAGAUAGAAUUAAAAAAUUAUAUU